rnacentral:rRNA from 1 species
UACGUAGGGUGCAAGCGUUGUCCGGAAUUAUUGGGCGUAAAGAGCUCGUAGGCGGUUUGUCGCGUCGAAUGUGAAAGUCCGGGGCUCAACUCCGGAUCUGCGGUGGGUACGGGCAGACUAGAGUGAUGUAGGGGAGACUGGAAUUCCUGGUGUAGCGGUGAAAUGCGCAGAUAUCAGGAGGAACACCGGUGGCGAAGGCGGUUCUCUGGGCAUUACCUGACGCUGAGGAGCGAAAGUGUGGGGAGCGAACAGG